GACGAACGCUGGCGGCGUGCUUAACACAUGCAAGUCGAACGGAAAGGCCCUGCUUUUGUGGGGUGCUCGAGUGGCGAACGGGUGAGUAACACGUGAGUAACCUGCCCUUGACUUUGGGAUAACUUCAGGAAACUGGGGCUAAUACCGGAUCGGAUCUCCUGCUGCAUUGUGGGGGUUGGAAAGUUUCGGCGGUUGGGGAUGGACUCGCGGCUUAUCAGCUUGUUGGUGGGGUAGUGGCAUACCAAGGCUUUGACGGAUAGCCGGCCUGAGAGGGUGACCGGCGACAUGGGGACUGAGAUAGGGCCCAGUCUCCUACGGGAGGCAGCGGGGGCGAACAUUGCACAAUGGGCGGAAGCGUGAUGCAGCAGCGCCGCGUGCGGGAUGACGGCCUGCGGGUUGUAAACCGCUGUAGCCUGUGACGAAGCGUGAGUGACGGUAAUGGGUAAAGAAGCACCGGCUAACUACGUG
rnacentral:rRNA from 1 species